GGCCGGGCCCCGUCUGGAAGACUAGUGAUUUUGUUGUUCUCUAGCUGACCGCACGACAACAAAUCCCAGUCUGCCUGACGGUGCCCGGUG
rnacentral:pre_miRNA from 13 species